rnacentral:tRNA from 1 species
AAGGGUAUAGUUCAGUGGUAGAGUUUGUGCUUAGCAUGCAUGAGGUCCUGGGUUCAAUUCCCAGUGCCUCCG